ensembl:lncRNA
UAUUUAUAUAACACUCUUACAGAUAUAAAUAUAUUAUUUAUUAUAUUUAACUACAUAAAAUAUAAUUUGAUAUUAUAUAAUAUAUUACACAAUUUAUUUAUAAUAUAUAUAGAGAUUUAUUAUAAGUAUAUUUCAACUACAUAAAAAUACAUACAUAGAAUCUGAAACAAAUAGAUCACAAUAGCAGCUUGAUACACUUGGCAGCUCAAAGUCACAAUCAGACACAUGCAGACAGGAAUGGCAAUAGAAGUGGGAAUCUUGCUCAGCAAACCCGCCUCCAUUAGACAACAUUUUUUUUCCUGAUUUUUCCAGACCGGAUUUCUCUAGGUUUUGGAGAACAUCCCGGAACUUUCUUUGAAGACCAGACUGCCCUUGAACUCACAAACAUCCACCUGCCUCUUACACCCAAGUGCUGGGAUUGAAGUUGUGUGUUUCUACCAUCCCACCAUUACAAUAUUUAUUUAUUUUUUACUGCUAAAUGAAGGCAGAGCAAAAAGGAAGUUACAUUUUAUCCUGUAUUCCACCUUCUGGUAACCUGCUUCUUCUAAAACACACAGUGUGGAGGGGGAUGUAAAUGAAUCGUAACCUAUGAUUGAGACAUCCAAGACAGCUCCAGCCAUUUGAUUUGCAUUAAUAAGUUUGAGAUCUCUCUCCUUAUUAGUUCCUAAUGCAUCUGUAUUUGACUGCAUGCCCUCCUCCCAUAAGUGACAAUCUCAUCCAAUGUCUGCACUGGAGGUUUUUGCCCCUCAGGCUCCUCAUUAAAUUCCAGCAUUUAGGUGGAUUUAGCCAAAGCCUGACUAUAAACAACCCAGGCAAAGGAAAACACUCUCCAGAGACAUUCAGGAGACAGACAAUAAAAUUCUAGCAUGGUCAGGGCUUUGGUGUAAUUUCCUAUCACGUUGCCAUGAAUAACUGCUCCUAUUUGCUGUGACAGGAAUGCAUUCCUGUCUCUGAAGCUACUGCUUUAGCCUUAAUAUCUGUGAUGCCUGGGUCAGUCUUUGGUACUGCAUUGAAUGCAAGUAUGAAUUUCUUUGUUGAUCAAUACCUGACGGAACAUGGCAUGCAAUCAUGGCAUGAAAUGCUCAUAUGUUUGUUUGGAGGUCCUACUAACAAAAAUGGCUCUAUCAGGAUAAAUUCCCACAUAGUCUCAUGGGAAUUUGUGAAGUUCAAGUGUCACAUUCUACAAAUAAAUGCAUUUGUGGAAUCUGACAUAAUAUAUCAGAGUAUUCUGAUUGGCAGCCUAGAAUCAAAAUAAGCUUUGAGAGGGCAGAAAGGGAGGCUUUCAAGGAGAUAACCAAGACAUAUGUAAAGGUGGCUGGAUAUAAAUUCUCACCCUAGUUAAGAUGGGAUUAUUUUCUAUUUUGGUCAUUUUAUUCAGGUCAUAUGAUAAAUUACAUUUAUCAUUUCAUCCACUUUCUCUGCUCCAGAACAAUUUUGGUUGGGAGUCAGAAAAGAAUAAGCACCUCUAUAGUAAUCUUCAAUGUUACAUCAGUAUUUGCUUUCCCCUUGCUGAAAAUGAGAUCACUCUACUUACUGGUUCCUAUUCCACCCACAAUUUGAAUGUACACACUCCUUCAGUCAGAAAGCUAAUGCAGUUGUCAGGAGAGCACCUUUACCAUCGAAGCUCUGACUAUAUACCAGAUACCAAUUGUGCUUUCCUAUAAAAAAUUACAUUAGCCCAGGUAAAGCAGACCAUUUAUGACAUAUAUAGGAGACAAAACCCAUGAGAAUUAGCAAAC